AGGUGGAAUUUAAGGAAAGGUAUU
rnacentral:piRNA from 1 species